rnacentral:rRNA from 1 species
GACAGAGGCCUCGAGCGUUAGGCGGAAUCACUGGGCUUAAAGCGUGUGUAGGCGGGCCCGAAAGUGUCUUGUGAAAUCCCACGGCUCAACCGUGGAACUGCUGGGCAUACUGCGGGUCUUGGGCCAACUAGGGGCAGCCGGAACAAGCGGUGGAGCGGUGAAAUGCGUAGAUAUCGCUUGGAACGCCGAAGGUGAAAACAGGCUGCUGGGGUUGCGCCGACGCUGAGACACGAAAGCCAGGGGAGCAAACGGG